GACGAACGCUGGCGGCGUGCUUAACACAUGCAAGUCGAACGAUGAACCUGGAGCUUGCUCUAGGGAAUUAGUGGCGAACGGGUGAGUAACACGUGAGUAACCUGCCCUUGACUCUGGGAUAACCUCCGGAAACGGAAGCUAAUACCGGAUAUGACGCACGGAGGCAUCUCCUGUGCGUGGAAAGAACUUCGGUCAAGGAUGGACUCGCGGCCUAUCAGGUAGUUGGUGAGGUAACGGCUCACCAAGCCUACGACGGGUAGCCGGCCUGAGAGGGUGACCGGCCACACUGGGACUGAGACACGGCCCAGACUCCUACGGGAGGCAGCAGUGGGGAAUAUUGCACAAUGGGCGCAAGCCUGAUGCAGCAACGCCGCGUGAGGGACGACGGCCUUCGGGUUGUAAACCUCUUUUAGUAGGGAAGAAGCGAAAGUGACGGUACCU
rnacentral:rRNA from 1 species